UUGAGAUUGCUGUGAGCUAGGCUCAUGCCAUGGCACUAGCCUGGGUACUGAGUGAGACUCUGUCUCGGAGAAAAAAAAAAUUAUCUUAGAAAUAAAGACUGAGGGACAAGAUGGCUGCCCCUGAGGAGCAUGAAGCUCCCUAGCCGGCAGCGGAGGAGGAGGAAAUUAAAACAUUUAAAGACUUGGGUGUAACAGAUGUAUUGUGUGAAGCCUGUGACCCGUUGGGAUGGGCAAAGCCCACCAAGAUCCAGAUUGAAGCUAUUCCGUUAGCUUUACAAAGUCGUGAUAUCAUUGGGCUGGCAGAAACUGGCUCUGAAAAAACAGGGGCUUUUGCUUUGCCCAUUCUGAAUGCGCUGCUGGAGACAGCCCAGUGUUUAUUUGCCCUAGUUCUCACUCCCAUUUGGGAGCUGGCUUUUCAGAUCUCAGAGCAGUUUGAAGCCCUGGGAUCCUCUAUUGGAGUGCAGUGUGCUGUGAUUGUGGGUGGAAUUGAUUCAACGUCUCAAUCUCUGGCCCUGGCAAAAAAACCACAUGUAGUAAUAGCAACCCCGGGGCAACUAAUUGACCAUCUGGAAAAUACAAAAGGCUUCAACUUAAGAGCUCUCAAAUACUUGGUCAUGGAUGAAGCUGACCGAAUAUUGAACAUGGAUUUCGAGACAGAGGUUGACAAGAUCCUCAAAGUGAUUCCCCGAGAUCGGAAAACAUUUCUCUUCUCUGCUACCAUGACCAAGAAGGUGCAAAAGCUUCAACGAGCAGCUCUGAAGAAUCCUGUGAAAUGUGCUGUUUCCUCUAAAUACCAGACAGUUGAGAAAUUACAGUAAUACUAUCUUUUUAUUCCUUCUAAAUUCAAGGAUACUUACUUGGUCUAUAUUCUAGGGCUAGGUUGAUGAAGCCCAUGACCUGUAAUUGUAAAGGAAAGAAGCGUGGACAUCUGAGAUACUUAAGCCAUCCCAGCUUAUGCCUCACUAGACCGAACUUGAAACAAUAAAUUUAAAUACUAUAAAAAAAAAAAAGAAAUAAAGACUGAAUUAUAAGUUAUCCAAAGGAGAGUAGAUUCACUUGAAAACAUAUUUGACAUUGAGGAAAGGCACAAAAUAGCCAACAGAAUGAAAACUAAAUAU